UACAGAGGGUGCUAGCGUUGUUCGGAAUCAUUGGGCGUAAAGGGCGUGUAGGCGGUUUGUUAAGUCAUGUGUGAAAUCCCUCGGCUCAACCGGGGAACGACGCAUGAAACUGGCAAGCUAGAGUACCAAAGAGGGGGGGUGGAAUUCCCGGUGUAGCGGUGAAAUGCGCAGAUAUCAGGAGGAACACCGAUGGCGAAGGCAGGUCUCUGGGCCACUACUGACGCUGAGAAGCGAAAGCAUGGGGAGCGAACAGG
rnacentral:rRNA from 1 species